UGGGAUGACCAGGACAUCAUUGUUCCAGGAUGUGGGAGGUGCUAUCUGUUACAACCCUGGACUGGCGGAAUUGGUUGAUGGGUUGAAUAUCAACCUCCUGCAUAAUCUAGGCGAUAAGACCUAGACAGCUGGUGUCAACAUCCUUAGGAUUUGCUGCUUUAACUACAGUGUGGAGCAGUAAAUCUGUGGAAAGGAGACAUGCUUGAUUCAACUUCUUUCAAACUUGGCCUCCACUAGAAAACCACAAGUUAGUCUCAUAGCUGACUGAAGGAGAGUAGAAAAUCAAUAGUUUGUGAGCCUGAAGAACACAGAAAUGCCUCACCUGAGGAGCAUGACCCCAGACACUGGCAGGGAUUUUUGGAACAUGUACAACAUUCUGAUUCCACUAAAGAAACUCAGCUUAGAAAAUCUCCCAUACUCCUCUGACAUGCGAAUAAACUGUGUGUGGCUUGAACAUCAUCUCUGUUCACUUGGCUGAGAAUGAUAUAAUAGUGUUGAAUGGCCAGAUACUUGAGUCCUUCCUGUGCUGUCAAUAGUCUCUGAUCAUCUGAAGAAAAAGAAGCACCCACAUGAAAUGGAUUCAGUUCCUCAAAUAAAUCGCUCAUAUUUUGAAUCUUGUGAAAUAUAAAACCAGAAAAAUAUUCCAAGUCCUGAGGAGAAUUUUUCCUUCAUCUCUGAGCCAACAUAUUUAUAUCAAAAAGCCUUGUGAUGGUGAAGAAUGGGGAUACGCUAAACACAAGGGACUGGAACUAGAGCCCUGUGUUAUAUCAUUGCAAGGCUUGCCAGGAUGCAGUUAUUAACUGAGUUGCUAAGAGAAGACCCAGAACAUCUGAACAAAUGAGCAAACACUUUCUGGCAGUAAAGUUAUUAUCAGAUUUUAAAACUCAGCAUUUGUGGAAAGACUCUCAGAUCAUGAUUGUGGUUCAUCACAACCAGUGUAUGCUUUAGUGAGGAAUAUUUUAAGUAUUCAGCUUGACACAGGGUAGACUCACCUUUCCAGGAAGUCUCCAUGAGAUUAGUGUCUAGGUCAGGCUGGCUGUGACAUAUCUGUGGGGUAUUAUCUUGUUUAGGUAAAUUUACAUAUGUCCUAUCUUGUGUCUCACUGUUGUAAUAAACACAAUGAAUAAUAACAAACAAUAGCAAC